AUGGCCACUUUUUUUUCGCGAUAUUUCCGGCAGAGCAGACCCUCCAAUUAUUGGUUCUUAGGGUCAAAGUUAACAGAAAAAACACAAAUAAAUAGUAUGGCAGACCAUGUUAGGUUCGACCCAUUUUUGAGAUUUGGCUCCCCGACUAUGUGUGUGCUGUCUGUGCUGUGCUGUGCUGUCUGCUCUGUGCUGUCUGCUCUGUGCUGUCACUCUGUGCUGUCUGCUCUGUUCUGUGAUGUCUGCCCUGUUCUCUGCUGUCUGCUCUGUGCUGUCUGUUCUGUGCUGUGUGUUCUGUGCUGUCACUCUGUGCCGUCUGCUCUGUUCUGUGAUGUCUGCCCUGUUCUCUGCUGUCUGCUCUAUGCUGUCACUCUGUGCUGUCUGCCCGGUUCUCUGCUGUCUGCUCUGUGCUGUGCUGUCUGCCCGGUUCUCUGCUGUCUGCUCUGUGCUGUGCUGUCUGCCCGGUUCUCUGCUGUCUGCUCUGUGCUGUGCUGUCUGCCCGGUUCUCUGCUGUCUGCUCUGUGCUGUGCUGUCUGCUCUGUGCUGUGCUGUCUGCUCUGUGCUGUGCUGUGCUGUCUGCUCUAUGCUGUCUGCUCUAUGCUGUCUGUUCUGUGCUGUGCUGUCUGCCCGGUUCUCUGCUGUCUGCUCUGUGCUGUGCUGUCUGCUCUAUGCUGUCUGCUCUAUGCUGUCUGCUCUAUGCUGUCUGCUCUAUGCUGUGCUGUCUGUCCGGUUCUCUGCUGUCUGCUCUGUGCUGUGCUGUCUGCUCUACGCUGUCUGCUCUAUGCUGUCUGUUCCGUGCUGUGCUGUCUGCCCGGUUCUCUGCUGUCUGCUCUGUGCUGUGCUGUCUGCUCCAUGCUGUCACUCUGUGCUGUGCUGUGCUGUCUGCUCUGUGCUGUGCUGUGCUGUCUGCUCUGUGCUGUGCUGUCUGCUCUACGCUGUCUGCUCUAUGCUGUCUGUUCCGUGCUGUGCUGUCUGCCCGGUUCUCUGCUGUCUGCUCUGUGCUGUGCUGUCUGCUCCAUGCUGUCACUCUGUGCUGUGCUGUGCUGUCUGCUCUGUGCUGUGCUGUGCUGUCUGCUCUGUGCUGUGCUGUCUGCUCUACGCUGUCUGCUCUAUGCUGUCUGUUCCGUGCUGUGCUGUCUGCCCGGUUCUCUGCUGUCUGCUCUGUGCUGUGCCGUCUGCUCUGUGCUGUGCUGUCUGCUCCAUGCUGUCACUCUGUGCUGUGCUGUGCUGUCUGCUCUGUGCUGUGCUGUCUGCUCCAUGCUGUCACUCUGUGCUGUGCUGUCUGCUCUAUGCUGUCACUCCUGUGCUGUCUGUUCUGUGCUGUGCGCUCUAUGCUGUGCUGUGCUGUCUGCUCUAUGCUGUCCGCUCUAUGCUGUGAUGUCUGCUCUGUGCUGUUCUGUCUGCACUGUUCUGUGA
rnacentral:lncRNA from 1 species